CCUGUUGCUCCCUGGGCUUGUGAUUGUCAUUAGCAGCUACGCGUGAGAAGCUUCCAAAGCCUGUUAAGAAUCUAGUAAAGUCAGGGCGUGUGCCGCACUCUGCUAAUUGCAGCGUUUGACGGGCCGAAGAGGAGCGUUGCGACGUUGAGGCCCACGGGCUUUGGAUCCAAAACAAGCUGAUCACCGCACCAAGUCAUUUGAAGAGCAAGUUCCGCAUUGUUGAACACUCGUUUUGCAGCGGUCUUUGUUGAAGAUUAGUUAGUGAGCUCUAUUGUAUAGCACCGUGUAACUUGGGUGUUCCAGCCAGUAUUCCGGUAGGAAGCUGUGCUUUAAGAUGCCCCGGAUCAUCUGGCUCCAGUGUCUGCUGACCAGACGGAAUACCACUAUUUAACCGGACACACUCCACCGGCGUGAAAUGCUUCCCCCGUAAAAGUGUUCAGUCAGAGCCAGGCAUUGGUGUGCACACCUUUUGUCCCAGCACUUCCGGAGGCACAGGCAGGCACAUCUCUGAGUUUGAGCCCAGCCUGAUCUGCAGAGCGAGUUCCAGGACAGCCAGGGCUACACAGAGAAACCCUGUCCAGAAAACAAAACAAAACAAAACUGGGCCUGCUGUUGCAACACCGGGGAAGCAGCACGAGACAGCAUCUCCCAGAAGCCUCAGGAGCCUGGGCAUCCUGCUUAAACCACACAGGGGGCGUUUUUGCAAGCCCAGCAUGCCUCUUAGCACCAAACAACAAGGCCUCUCAUUAAGCUUGAAGAUCACUGGUUCAACUAAACUGGCUGGCCAGCGAGCCCCAUGAAUCCUCCUGCUUCGGCCUCCCUAGUAUUGGGAUUACAGAUGUACACUCUGCACUUGGCUUCUUACAGAGAAACGUUCCAGAGAACUUCUCGGGGCAAUCCGACUGAGUCUGAGGCUUUUGCUGACUUGUCAUGCUGAUUUUUGUUGCUGCUUGGUGUUGGCCUUUGGACUGGACUGGAUAAUCCUUCUUCUACAUGCAUUCCCAUCGCCAUGAGGCCAUCCAUCCUGAGUCCUCAGAGAGCUGAGCAACACAACUGCUACGGAAGUCACAAAUUUCCAGAACGCAGACAAAAAUUGAGAAGUGUCCUGGUCACUGUUUCCCUUGAACAUGGCCUUGCCUCGUACAGUGGCUGGGUGAGGAAUGGAAAGGACCAGCUUAGACAAAGAACUUCAAGAAACAUUGACCAAAAUUGCUGCAGUCUCUGAAGAAAAACGAAUCAGAUUGCCUGAGGACUGCUAGCCACUUUGUUGUAGCUUUCAAUUUUCUGAAUUACAUCUUAUCUAGCGUGUAUGUGUGUGGGGAAGCACACGUGUAUAUGUGCCAUGGCCCACAAGUUCGAGAACGACCUUCAGACGUUGAUUUUGUCAUGUGGACACUGGAGACUGACCUCGGGUCCUCCAGCUUGGCAGCAAGGGCACCUGCUGAACUCUUGACAGCCCCUACCUUGGUUUUUGAGACAGGGUGUCUAACUGGGAGCUAGGCUUGCCAGUCAGUCUAGACUGGCUGGUCCAAGCCCCAGAGACCUUCGUGUGAAACGGGAUUACAAUCAUGUGCCUCCACGUGAGCCACCACACUCGCCCGCCGCUGCUCCUUACAUGACGGCAUUAAAGGCGUACACCGACAUGUACGACUUUGUUCUGCUUAACAUUUUUUGAGAUUUAUUUUUAUGUAUAUAUGGGUUUUGCCUGCAUGUGUACCACAUGUAUGUGGCACUCGAGGAGGCUAGAAGAAAAAGUCAGAUCCUCUUGGAACUGCCCUCCCCUGGAUUUUGACAGAGAUCUCAAGCGGUCCACCUGCUUACUUUAUUUCAUUUAAUCUUUAUUAAUUUGUUACUAUUAUUAAUUUGUUACUAUUUCCCUCUUCACCGUAGAUUCUAGGGAGAGAACUCAGGUUAUCAGGCUUACCUGGUAG